ACUUGCUGGCUGCCAGAAAGGAAAAAAGCCCAGAAUCGAGUGGAUGUGAUUCUACUGAGCUAGGGCUGCAGAAAAACCUUGGUUAUGUAGGAAAAACCUGGCUAGAGGAUAAACACACAUAAAUCCUACGAAGAAGGUGUUCCUGGAUAUUGAAUCGAAAGCCUGCUUAAAAUCAAGGAAGGCCACAAAAAGAGAGGAUUUUUUUUUUGUAUGUAUAUUUUUGAACCAGAUGGUGAAGUAUCAGGAUAUGAUCCACCAUAGAUCUUCCUUCUCUAAAACCGGCUUUGAUUAUCCCACCUGAAAUUAUCCAGUCCCGGAGUUUAUAGUUUAGAUGUUUGGCAUACAAUUUACUAAUAACACUCAGAAGACUAAUGGGUCUAUAA